GAUGAACGCUGGCGGCGUGCUUAACACAUGCAAGUCGAACGAUGAAGCCCAGCUUGCUGGGUGGUUUAGUGGCGAACGGGUGAGUAACACGUGAGUAACCUGCCCUUAACUCUGGGAUAAGCCUGGGAAACUGGGUCUAAUACCGGAUAGGAGCGUCCACCGCAUGGUGGGUGUUGGAAAGAUUUAUCGGUUUUGGAUGGACUCGCGGCCAAUCAGCUUGUUGGUGGGGUAAUGGCUCACCAAGGCGACGACGGGUAGCCGGCCUGGGAGGGUGACCGGCCACACUGGGACUGAGAGACGGCCCAGACUCCUACGGGAGGCAGCAGUGGGGAAUAUUGCACAAUGGGCGCAAGCCUGAUGCAGCGACGCCGCGUGAGGGAUGACGGCCUUCGGGUUGUAAACCUCUUUCAGUAGGGAAGAAGCGAAAGUGACGGUACCUGCAGAAGAAGCACCGGCUAACUACGUG
rnacentral:rRNA from 1 species